UACGGAGGGGGCUAGCGUUGUUCGGAAUUACUGGGCGUAAAGCGCACGUAGGCGGCUUUGCAAGUUAGAGGUGAAAGCCCGGGGCUCAACCCCGGAAUUGCCUUUAAAACUGCAUCGCUAGAAUUGUGGAGAGGUAAGUGGAAUUCCGAGUGUAGAGGUGAAAUUCGUAGAUAUUCGGAAGAACACCAGUGGCGAAGGCGACUUACUGGACACAUAUUGACGCUGAGGUGCGAAAGCGAGGGGAGCAAACAGG
rnacentral:rRNA from 1 species